rfam:Archaeon CG2_30_31_98 isolate CG2_30_31_98 cg2_3.0_scaffold_7575_c, whole genome shotgun sequence.
GCCUCUGUAGUCUAACGGUUAGGACAUUACCCUGUCACGGUAAUAAUCCGGGUUCAAAUCCCGGCAGAGGCG